AUGGAACCUUCACAAACAAGAAAUACACUACGUACGAAUCCCACAACUGGCAAAUUUGGUGGAGAGCAACAGUUCCCUGCAGUGGGAAGAACAAAAAGCUCUUGCUGAAGGAGGCAUAAGAGGAGGCAUCAACCAUUGUUGACAGCUUAUAUGCAAAAUUGAGAAACCAACAAAGAAGCCAUGGUACUGAUUCAAUCUAUCGAUAGAAACAACAUAACUUCCAGAGCGCGAAAAAAAAACCUUAAUGAUUGGGAAUUGUUCUUCAAUAAUGGAAGUUCUCUUUGUUGAGGCAAAAUUUAGAUAUGUAUGAUGUGUAAUCAUUGUUAUUGAUAUUUAUAGACAACCCAGAGCAAUUUGAUUAUAUAUUAAUUAAUGAUGAUGAUAUGUAGAAACUCAUGUAAACAUAUACAGGUUGUGCUCACUUGUUUUGCUUUCUUACUGUUUUCAUGUUAUAAUUUCAGCUCCAGGCUGGAAAGUCACACGAUUUUCAUUGUUAGCUCCAGUAAGAAAUGAAAAGAGAAAAUAAAGGCAGAAUACUUUUAAGCUAUCUAAAUUUGAGCUUACCUCAAAGUACAAGGUGGAU